GGAGAAGUGCAAUACAAUCAGAAAAGAAGUGCAAUAGGGGAAGAAGUGCAAUACAAUCAGAAGAAGUGCAAUUGGGAGAAGUGCAAUACAAUCAGAAGAAGUGCAAUAGGGGGAGAAGUGCAAUGCAAUCAGAAGUGCAAUAGGGGAAGAAGUGCAAUACAAUCAGAAGUGCAAUAGGGAGAAGUGCAAUGCAAUCAGAAGAAGUGCAAUAGGGGAGAAGUGCAAUACAAU
rnacentral:lncRNA from 1 species